GAUGAACGCUAGCGGCAGGCCUAAUACAUGCAAGUCGAACGGUUCAUGGUCUUCGGGCCAUGGAUAGUGGCGCACGGGUGCGUAACGCGUACACAACAUACCCUUUACUGGGGGAUAGCGGUGGGAAACUGCCAGUAAUACCCCAUGCCCUCGCGGAGUGGCAUUAUUUUGCGAGGAAAGUUGAGGCGGUAAAGGAUUGGUGUGCGUCCGAUUAGCUAGUUGGCGGGGUAACGGCCCACCAAGGCGACGAUCGGUAGGGGGUGUGAGAGCAUGGCCCCCCACACGGGUACUGAGACACGGACCCGACUCCUACGGGAGGCAGCAGUAAGGAAUAUUGGUCAAUGGUGGGAACACUGAACCAGCCAUUCCGCGUGAAGGAUGAAUGCCCUCUGGGUUGUAAACUUCUUUAGUCUGGGACGAAAAAAGCUUCAUUUAUGAAGAACUGACGGUACCAGAAGAAUAAGCACCGGUUAACUCCGUGCCAGCAGCCGCGGUAAU
rnacentral:rRNA from 1 species